AGUGAACGCUGGCGGUAGGCCUAACACAUGCAAGUCGAACGGCAGCACAGUAAGAGCUUGCUCUUACGGGUGGCGAGUGGCGGACGGGUGAGGAAUACAUCGGAAUCUGCUUUUUCGUGGGGGAUAACGUAGGGAAACUUACGCUAAUACCGCAUACGACCUACGGGUGAAAGCAGGGGAUCUUCGGACCUUGCGCGAGUGAAUGAGCCGAUGUCGGAUUAGCUAGUUGGCGGGGUAAAGGCCCACCAAGGCGACGAUCCGUAGCUGGUCUGAGAGGAUGAUCAGCCACACUGGAGCUGAGACACGGUCCAGCCUCCUACGGGAGGCAGCAGUGGGGAAUAUUGGACAAUGGGCGCAAGCCUGAUCCAGCCAUACCGCGUGGGUGAAGAAGGCCUUCGGGUUGUAAAGCCCUUUUGUUGGGAAAGAAAAGCAGCAGGUUAAUACCCCGCUGUUCUGACGGUACCCAAAGAAUAAGCACCGGCUAACUUCGUG
rnacentral:rRNA from 1 species